rnacentral:tRNA from 1 species
GGUGUGGAAGCUCAGGUAGUAAAGCACUUGCCUAGCAAGCACAGUGUCCUGGGGUCAAACCCCAGCAACACUA